ensembl:snRNA U1 U1 spliceosomal RNA
UCAAGUACCUGGCAGGGGAGACACCAUGAAUCAAGCAGGUGGUUUGCCCAGGGCGAGACUUGGCCAUUGCACUGCGGCAGCGUUGACCCCUGCGAAUUCCCCAAAUGUGGGAAUCUCGACUGCACAAUUUCUGGUAGUGGGGGACUGCGUACGCGCUCUCCCCUG